GAUGAACGCUAGCUACAGGCUUAACACAUGCAAGUCGAGGGGCAGCAUGUCGGUUGCUUGCAACCGAUGAUGGCGACCGGCGCACGGGUGAGUAACGCGUAUCCAACCUGCCUGUCACUCAGGAAUAGCCCGGUGAAAACCGGAUUAAGUCCUGAUGAUAUCAUUAGAGGGCAUCUGACGAUGAUUAAAGGUUACGGUGACGGAUGGGGAUGCGUCUGAUUAGCUUGUUGGCGGGGUAACGGCCCACCAAGGCGACGAUCAGUAGGGGUUCUGAGAGGAAGGUCCCCCACAUUGGAACUGAGACACGGUCCAAAACUCCUACGGGAGGCAGCAGUGAGGAAUAUUGGUCAAUGGGCGAGAGCCUGAACCAGCCAAGUAGCGUGCAGGAAGACGGCCCUAUGGGUUGUAAACUGCUUUUAUAGGGGAAUAAAGUGAGCCACGUGUGGUUUUUUGUCAUGUACCCUAUGAAUAAGGACCGGCGUAAUUCCGUGCCAGCAGCC
rnacentral:rRNA from 1 species